AACCCUAGGUAUAAAACCAUCUUUUUCUCUCAUCCUCUUCAUAUUUCUUUUACACAACUCAAACCCUAGCCCCACUAACUGAUCCUAGAGAGAGAGCGCACAUUAUCGUUUUGUUUUCAAAACCUUCUGCCGCAAAACAUCAUCACCUUCUACAAAACAAACCGUAUCACGUUUUAAUGGUGUUCUCCUUGAUUGCUUCGAGCGACGGCCUCAAGAAGGUAGGAAGAGUUCCGCCAGAUAUCUAGUUCCACCAUUGUUGCACGUAAAGCUUAGAUUUCGUAUCUCAGUCGAUCGUUCGUUCCAUAUUUAGUUCGUUGGUGGUGGUUCCCAUUCUUGAUUCUUCUUUAAUCACAUGUAUGAAAAUUGAUUAAAGCAACCUUAUGAAGUUAGUUUGGUCACCGUGAGGGAACUGGUUGUAACGUGGUUGUGGGCGUGGGGCUGAAUUGUCGACCAUAGAUCUCACGUCUGUUUCGGUUUGAUGUUGCGACUUCAAGAUCAUCUCAGGGUUGGUUGACCAACUGAGAACGGAUAAUGUAUCAAAACAUACCGAGCAAAUCAAGGUCGUUAGAUUUCUGAUUAUGGACUUGCUAUCUGGGAGCGCUGGAGUGGUCAUGGAUCGAGACUCUUGGAUACUUGUCACAUUGGUUCUUGAACACUUGUUUGAAACAAUUGAUUAACUGUUACUAUAUGCUUCCGCUGAACACGUACCUUGGUUUUAAACUUAUGACUUGGAUUUAUAUUUUGAAAUGAAUGGAAUGUUUUAUUUAAA